rnacentral:rRNA from 1 species
UACGGAGGGGGCUAGCGUUGUUCGGAAUUACUGGGCGUAAAGCGCACGUAGGCGGCUUUGCAAGUCAGAGGUGAAAGCCCGGGGCUCAACCCCGGAAUUGCCUUUGAGACUGCAUCGCUAGAAUUGUGGAGAGGUAAGUGGAAUUCCGAGUGUAGAGGUGAAAUUCGUAGAUAUUCGGAAGAACACCAGUGGCGAAGGCGACUUACUGGACACGUAUUGACGCUGAGGUGCGAAAGCGUGGGGAGCAAACAGGG